UCUCGUAAUUUAACCAUGUCAGCUUUAAACCCUUUAGUCCGCAUCCUAAAGUUAACCAUUUGAUCGAAAUAACUUUCAAGGAUUGGCUCAGAAACCUCAGAUAGUCUUGAUAUCAGAGAAAAUAGAGUAUGUGCUCGACCAGGACCCCACUAUUAUGCCAAGCCAUCCAAGUGCUGAAUGGAGGGCAGCACACGAAAAAUAGACGAAUGAUGAUAAUCAGGUCAAGUACUACAUACUGACCUCUAUGAUGAAUGAGUUACAGAGUCAGCAUGAGCACAUGCUAAUUGUUAGGGCUAUGAUCACUCACCUAUAAGAGUUGUAUGCUGAGUAGAGCUGCACUGUGCAUUUUGAAAUGUCGAAGAGACUCUUCAACUCCAAAAUACGUAAGGAACAGUCGGUCUACGAUCACUUUAUGACU
rnacentral:lncRNA from 1 species